UACGUAGGUCCCGAGCGUUAUCCGGAGUAACUGGGCGUAAAGUGUUCGUAGCCUGAUAUAUAAGUCUGUUUUCAAAUACCUCGACUCAAUUGAGGAAAGGGAAUGGAUACUGUAUAUCUGGAGGUCAUUGGGGGUUAAUGGAAUUUCCGGUGGAGCGGUGAAAUGCGUUGAUAUCGGAAGGAAUGCCAAAAGCGAAAGCAGUUAACUACAGUGAACCUGACGGUGAGGAACGAAAGCUUGGGGAGCAAACGGG
rnacentral:rRNA from 1 species